rnacentral:lncRNA from 1 species
UGUGAAACCCUAGCAACCAAGAGUGCUUCCUAUAGUGUCCUGGAGAAGGCAGUAGUAUUGCAGCUUAGGAUAAAGGAAAGUGGUGGUGACGUUGGGGUAGGGAGAGAUGAGAUCGGGCUUUUAGCUGAAGAACUCCUUCAACUCUCAGUCAAAGGAUCGAUGGUGGUGCCGAGUGAGAAGUCUAAUCUGAUCUGCACAAUUUAGACUGAAAAAUUGUAUAAUCAAUAUAGUUUGAAAGCACAAAUGAGGAGUAUAUGGAAUACAAGAAAGAAAUUUGAGUUUCAGACGGUAGGGCAGAAUUUGUUCUUAACUGAAUUUGAUCUUGAAGAGGAUCUGGAGACAAUAAUGGAGGGGAGACCAUGGCUUUUCAUUAAGAGUCUUAUUUUAUUUAAUAGGUUAUCUUAACCAGUAGAAAGAACUAAGAUUUGGCUUAUUUCUUCUCUUUUUUGGUUGAAAAUAGGGGCGUGUUUACCAGAGUACGACAAAAAAGAUCUGUUGCAUGCAAUUGGAGUCAAAUUUGGAGGUUUAAUAAGAUCCGAGAUCAAUGGUGAGGUGUGUCGUCUUAGGAUCAAUUUAAAUGUACAGAAGUCGCUUCGACGAGGUAUUUUUGUCUCAAUUAAUAAUAUGACUAAGUCAUGGAUCCCUUUUAAGUAUGAAAGUUUACCAAUGUUUUGCUUUGGUUGUGGACGAAUGGGGCAUAGCUUUAAAAAAUGCUCAGUGCUAACUCCAACAGAAAUAAGUAAAAUAGGUGAUGAUUCACCUUACACACUAGCUUCGAAAGCAGAAUCUAAUUUAAUUGGGAAGGAAUGUGUGAAAUUUAGAGCGAUUUUAAAGAGAGAAGGGGCUCAAUGCUCGUAUAUAGGAGAGGAAGAAUCGGUUCUAAGAAGGGCAGUACGCAUAAAGAAGGAAUAAAUAUGAAUGGGAUGCAAAUAACGAAGCUCAAUGGAAAUGGUAAAAAGGACGAUAUGGAAUAAGAGGACACAUCAAUAGCUAAGGAUGAUGACCAGCUGGUGGACAAUAAAUAUCAGUCGGGUAAUGAAUCAUGCUCAUCUAAAAAGAAAGGAUGGAGAAGAAUCGGUCCAAUGGCUACUUUGAUAUAAAGCAGGGAGGUUAAUAAUAAGAGGAAAAGGAAAUUUAUGGAGGAAGAAUGUGUAGUCUGGUGUUUGGAUGGUGGACAAGCAGAGGGAGUUAAAAGAGCGAGAUGGGAGAGUUUAGAGGAAGGUGGGGAAGUCUGGCCUCAAGUAAUGAAUGAGAUCACGGAGGAGAAUAAUCUUUCUGAAUGCACAAAAUCGACGGCUGCCAACUGGCAAGCCGACCGGAAGCCAUGAAACACAUUAGUUGGAAUGUCCGUGAGAUUGGGGAAUCCACGGAUAAUAAGAAGGUUGCGAUAUUUUCUAAAGUAGCAUAAUCCCCAUAUAGUCUUCUUAAUGGAGACAAAAAUUAACAAGCAACGCUUGGAGAUGGUCAGGAGAGGUUAGGGUUUUUUUAAUGGUAUCAUGUUGAAGCGGAAGGUUCGAGAGGUGGAUUAAGUCUAGCGUGGAAAGGUGAUAUUGCAGUUACUUUGAGGAGUUUUUCUAAACAUCAUAUUGAUGUCAUGGUUAAGAAGGACGAUGACAAAGAAGAAUGGAGAUUGACAGGUUUCUAUGGCUCACCUUAUGUUCAAGAUAAGAGUGUUUCUUAGGACUUACUAAGGAAACUAGGACAAGAUAAAAAUCAUCCAUGGUUAGUAUGUGGAGAUUUCAACGAAAUAUUGUACUCGUUUGAAAAAAGAAGAGGGGUACCAAGGGAGGAGCGAAGAAUGAAGGUUUUUCGGGAAACUUUAGAAGUGUGCCAACUAGUAGAUUUGGGAUUUAAGGGAACUUGGUAUACAUGGGAAAGAAGGAAUUUGCCAAAAACUAAUAUAAGAGAAAGACUUGAUAGAGAAGUUGUAAAUGAUAAAUAAAUGCAUAUCUUUCCAACAGGUAAUAUUUGACAUUUACCUCAUUCAAUAUCGAAUCAUUAUCCACUCCUUUUAAAUACAAAAGGGGAAAUAAGUAUAUGGGAAUUCCAAGAUUUAAAUUUGAAGUAUGGUAGACUCUAGAAGAGACAAUGGAAGUAGUAGUUAAAGAUUCAUGGGAAUCAACCAGGGGUACAAUAGUGGAGAAGUUGGAACGGCUACAAAUAGACCUGAAAGAUUGGGAGUGAACAAUUAAAGAAGGGAGGGACGGAUUAAAGAAAAAUCUUACAAGGGAUCUUGAGAUGAUGUUGGCGGAGGAACAAAGUGACGAAAUGAUUGCCAAAAUUAUAGAUACAAAAAUUUCUCUUAAUUUAGGAAUUAACAAAGAUGAGAUUUAUUGGGAAUAAAGGGCAAGAGCAAACUGGCUUCAAACAGGUGAUAAGAAUUCAGCCUUUUUUCAUAGAUUUGCUUCUUAUCGUCGACGAGUGAAUAUAAUCAAUGUGUUGGAGACAGAGGAGGGAGGAGAGGCUACAGAUUCUAACAAGAUUAGUGAAGUGGCUACUCUAUUUUCUAAAAGCUAUUCAAGACAAAUGGUGUCGGAGAUUCAUCUCAUCUUUUAACAGGCAUUGAAAGUAGGGUUUCAACAGAGGUCAAUGAUGCUCUAUUAUCAACUUUUACAGAAGAGAAAGUGUAUUCGGCAUUGAAAGAUAUGGGGCCUACUAAAGCCCCAGGACCGGAUAGUUUUCCAGCACCAUUCUUUCAAAAAUACUGGCACAUAGUAGGUAAAGAUGUCACUAAUUUUUGUUUGGGAAUUUUAAAUAAAAGUCAAAAUUUUGGCUCUCUUGAUCAAACAGAUAUCGUGUUGAUCCCAAAAACUCAAAAUCCUACAAGUCUAAUCAAUUUUAAACCUAUCAGUUUGUGUUCAGUUCUUUGCAAAAUAGUGGCAAAGGCAAUAGCUAACAGAUUUCAAGGAGUAAUUGGUAGGUGUAUUAAUGAGGCACAAAGUGCUUUUAUACCGGGAAGGUUAAUAUCUAAUAAUGUGAUGGCCUAUGAGAUAUUACAUUCUAUUCAGCAAAAGCGAACAAGACUGAAGGGAUACAUGGCGGUUAAACUUGAUAUGAGCAAAGCAUAUGAUAGAGUUGAAUGGAGUUUUCUUCAGGAUAUCAUGUUGCAAAUGGGUUUAGCCAAUAAAUGGGUGGAAUUGAUUAUGAAGUGUAUUUCCACAACAUCUUUUGCGGUUAAUAUAAAUGGGAGUAGAGGAAGAACUUUUCAAUCAUCUCGAGGUCUACGUCAAGGAGAUCCACUAAGCCCUUUUCUUUUUCUUGUAUACAGUGAGGGCCUCUCAUCGUUGAUGAGAUUGGCAAUUAAAAAAGAUGUGGUAAAAGGUGCAAAGGCUAGUAGGAGAGGACCAGUAAUAUCACAUUUGCUUUUCGCAGAUGAUUGUAUAUUGUUUGGUGAGGCAUCAGAUAAGGGAGCGACAACACUAAAGGGUAUUCUGAAGGAGUACGAGAAAUGCUUAGGUCAAUGUGUAAAUUUCAAUAAAUCCACUAUUUUUUACAGUUCGAAUACUCCAAAAAGGAGGAAAGCUGAAGUCUCGACAAUAUUAGGGGUACGAAGCUCUACAAAUCUAGAGAAAUAUCUCGGUCUUCCCAAUGUGGUUAGUAGGAGGAAAAAAGAGUCAUUUCAAAACCUUAAAGAGAAAGUUCAUUCAAGAAUCCAUGGGUGGAGUACUAGAUUUUUAUCACAAGGAGGUAAGGAAGUUUUUAUAAAAUCAAUACUUCAGGCUAUCCCAACUUAUGCGAUGUCAUGUUUCCUUCUUUCAGCUUCUUUUUGUAAAGAAUUAGAAAGCAGUUUUGCUAAACUUUGGUGGCAGAAAGCAUAGGGCAAAAGAGGAAUUCAUUGGUGUCAAUGGAAAAAUUUGUGUCUUUCUAAAGAAGAGGGUGGAAUGGGAUUUCAAAGUAUGGCAAAAUUCAAUAUCGCUUUGCUUGCAAAACAAGGUUGACGAAUUCUAAACAAUCCAGAUUCUUUAGUAACACAAGUUCUCAAAGGAAAAUAUUUCCCGAAUGAUAGCUUUUUAAAGGUGCAGUUGAAGAAUAAUGUUUCAUACAUAUGGAAGAGUAUAUGGGUCGCUCGGAGUACUGUUGAAAUGGGAUUAUGUUGGAAGGUAGGUAGGGGCUCGAAUAUUUUAGUACUUAAUGAUGUGUGGGUACUAGAAUUGAAAAAUAUCAGAUUAACGUCUUUAGUUACUGAUAUGAGUGAUUUUAGAGUUGCUGAGCUGAUUGAUAUUAAUAGCAGAUCAUGGAAAAAAGAGCUGAUAGAAGUUACCUUUCCAGAGGAAGUAGUAGAGAAGAUCCUUCAGACAUCGUUGGUAAAAGAACCCCAUGAAGAUUUUCGAGCCUGAAGUGGUGAACCCUCGGGAAAGUUUACAGUGCGCAGUACCUAUAAACUAUUACAAAACAUAGAAGAAGAGCCUAGAGCUUACGCUUUACAAAACGACUACAAUAAAUUUUACAAAAAGCUAUGGAGUACAAAUAUUCCCUCAAAGAUAAAAAUUACAGUCUGGAAAAUUUCAAAAAUUUUCUUAGCUACAAGGGCCAAUAUGUAUCAACGGAGAGUUUUAAAUAUCAUAGAAUGCCCUCGAUAUGGACGAGGAUCAGAAAGUAUGGACCACCUAUUCGGAGAAUGUUCAAUUUCAGUAACAGCAUGUCAAGAAUUAUCAUAUCAGUAUGUGUUACAAUAACCGAACCUGGAGUUCGCACAGUGGCUCAUUUGGGUGUUUUUGCAGAGUUCUCCAUCUCAGAGUAAGGUUGUCUGCUGUGUAUUAUGGGCAAUUUGGGGUGACAGAAAUAACAGGAUUCACAAGAAGACCAACAAAACUGGAAACGAAAUAGCAUGUUUUGUACAAAGUUACAUCUCAGAGCUAAGUGCGAUAGAACAAAAAAAGACAGGAAAAUGCAAAGUUAUUAGUAAAUAGAAGCCUCCACCUGUAAAGGUCGUGAAGAUCAACUUCGAUGCAGCUUUUGAUGAAAGAUCUCGGCAAUUGUCAAGGGGAUUAGUAGCCAGGAACAGUAAGGGCAGGGUUCUGGUUUCGUGCUCGGAGAUCACGAGUGAGUUGCAUCGGCUUUUGCUGCUGAGGCUCUCACAUGUCGCACAGCAGUUCGACUCGGUAUUAACAUGCAAUAGACAUCAGUUAUCAUUGAGGGUGAUUCAUUAGCAAUAAUAAAGAAGUGCAAGUUGGAUAGUAUAGAUAAUUCACAGAUAGGGGCUUAUAUCUACGACAUUUAGAGGUCACUGUCAAUUUCCAAGAAUUUCAGAUUUGAGUUCAUCCCACGAACAGCAAAUGAACUAGCACAUAGUAUAGCCACUGAAUCAAUGAAGGAAAAGAAAGAGUUUUACCUGAUAGGAUGGGUUCCUAAAUUCGCUGAGAAACAUGCUGACAAAGAGAGGGUGCGAGAACUAGACUGAACACGAAGGUCAGAUGAAACCCUGGAGAGCGUUUGAAAUGGAAAUAAAAAGACAAGGAGAAUACAACUCUCUGUGGAAAUCUGGAUAGGGUUUUGCAGAAAGGAUGAGGAAAAUGUAAGAAUGAAGGCAAAAUGUGAAAUGGAGAGAAGAGAUUAGUAAUCAAUAGCUUCAGUGGAAGAGCUCUCCUUGGAAAUCUGGAAGAGUCAUGAAGAAGAAACGACAGACGAUUAGAUGGGACGGGCAACAGAUUGCUUUUUCUGAUUGGGCAAUGAAACGGUGGUUUUUUAAUUAGGUUUUAGAAUAUACUAUUAUGUUUUAGGAG